ACUCGCAGAAUAAGCACCGGCUUAACUCUGUGCCAGCAGCCGCGGUAAUACAGAGGGUGCAAGCGUUAAUCGGAUUUACUGGGCGUAAAGCGCGCGUAGGUGGCCAAUUAAGUCAGAAUGUGAAAUCCCCGAGCUUAACUAGGGAAUUGCAUUCGAUACUGGUUGGCUAGAGUAUGGGAGAGGAUGGUAGAAUUCCAGGUGUAGCGGUGAAAUGCGUAGAGAUCUGGAGGAAUACCGAUGGCGAAGGCAGCCAUCUGGCCUAAUACUGACACUGAGGUGCGAAAGCAUGGGGAGCAAACAGGAUUAGAUACCCUGGUAGUCCAUGCCGUAAACGAUGUCUACUAGCCGUUGGGGCCUUUGAGGCUUUAGUGGCGCAGCUAACGCGAUAAGUAGACC
rnacentral:rRNA from 1 species